UAACUCUUGUAAGCUAUACAAGCUAUUAAGUUCAUACCUUAAAAAAGGAAUCUUCCCUUGAGUUUUUGUUUUCCAUUAAACACCCUUGCCGCUAUAAAACCAUGGAUAAAGAUCCAGAUUUGGAAGUUUUGUACGACAGAAAAAGAUAACUAGUGAGGUUAAAUGCGUGCCAGCAACCGCGGAUAUACGCACUACGCGUGAUGAAAUAAAUUAAACGGACAAAUAAAAAUUAGAGGUAAUAUAAAUACAGAGCACAAACCAGAAAUAUGAAGGAGGCUAGAUAGCUCCGUAAUACAGUUAAACACUUUUGAGCAGUUAAAAACUUAGAAAACCCGGCAGAAGCUAAUUAAAAAGGCUCUUUGAAUUAUAGAUAACCCGCUAUGUUGCUACGUUACUCUAAUAGUGUAUUGCUGACACGGCACUCUUAUUGGAGGGCCGACUCUUCAAGCCUUAAUGCUUUUACUUAGUAUUUGUUUGAGAGACUCGGAUUUUGAAGUAAGUAUUAUACAGAAAUUUAUAUGCUUUGUACAUAUUGCCCGUCACCUCGCCCACUCAUGGGUGAGAAAGUCGACACACAGUAGGUGUAGUGGAAAUUGCACCUUGUGUUUGCAAAUAUUUAAUCCCUGUUCACCUCAGAUUAAAUACCGCUUAAUUAUUCCGCACUCUA
rnacentral:rRNA from 1 species